rnacentral:rRNA from 1 species
UACGAAGGGGGCUAGCGUUGUUCGGAAUCACUGGGCGUAAAGCGCACGUAGGCGGAUCUUUAAGUCAGGGGUGGAAUCCCGAGGCUCAACCUCGGAACUGCCUUUGAUACUGGGGAUCUCGAGUCCGGGAGAGGUGAGUGGAACUGCGAGUGUAGAGGUGAAAUUCGUAGAUAUUCGCAAGAACACCAGUGGCGAAGGCGGCUCACUGGCCCGGAACUGACGCUGAGGUGCGAAAGCGUGGGGAGCAAACAGG